rnacentral:rRNA from 1 species
UACAGAGGUCCCGAGCGUUGUUCGGAUUUAUUGGGCGUAAAGGGUGCGUAGGUGGCAAAGUAAGUUGGAUGUGAAAUCCUGGGGCUUAACCUCAGAAUUGCAUUCAAUACUGCUUAGCUAGAGAGCUGUAGAGGAGACUGGAAUUUACGGUGUAGCAGUGAAAUGCGUAGAUAUCGUAAGGAACGCCAGUGGCGAAAGCGAGUCUCUGGGCAGCAUCUGACACUGAGGCACGAAGGCCAGGGGAGCAAACGGG